rnacentral:misc_RNA from 1 species
GAUGAAGAACGUAGCGAACUGCGAUAAGUAAUGUGAAUUGCAGAAUUCAGUGAAUCAUCGAGUCUUUGAACGCACAUUGCGCCCCCUGGCAUUCCGGGGGGCAUGCCUGUCCGAGCGUCAUUGCUGCCCUUCAAGCCCGGCUUGUGUGUUGGGUCGUCGUCCCCCCCGGGGGACGGGCCCGAAAGGCAGCGGCGGCACCGCGUCCGGUCCUCGAGCGUAUGGGGCUUUGUCACCCGCUCGAUUAGGGCCGGCCGGGCGCCAGCCGGCGUCUCCAACCUUCUAUCUUACCAGGUUGACCUCGGAUCAGGUAGGGAUACCCGCUGAACUUAAGCAUAUCAAUAAGCGGAGGA